rnacentral:pre_miRNA from 1 species
AUUACCCAGGGAUCUUGUUAAAAUGAGAAUCCUGAUUCAUGGAUCUGAGGAGGGUCGGAGAUUGUGCAUUUCUAAGUUCUUAUGUGAUACCA